AUGAAAGAGUAAAUGAAAGAUCCCUAGAAAGGUUCAAAAAAGAAUAUUCAAACCAGGAUGUAGAAGUUAAUGACCCUGAAUCUGUGGAUACAAAAGAAUAAUAAUAACAAUAAUAAAUAAAUAAAGACUUUGAAAAAAUCCAAGGAGGCAGAUGUUCAAUCUAUAGUAUCAAAGUCUGAAGCUGCAUCCACAGAUUUAAAUAAAGAACGGCAGGAGUAAUGAGGGGAAGCCAAGAAAAUUUCAGAAACUGUACUUCCGAAUAAAGGCAAAUAUAAAUUAAAGGUAGCAUUCCUUAAAAAAGAAAGAAAGAGAAAGAAGGAAAGAAAAUAUGAUUUCCUUGUGAACCUAUACCACCAUCCCUGAAGUGUAAACAGCCACAAUCAGGUUUAUGGAUGCUGAAUGUUCCACUUCCAAGCCAAGAUAAACACACUUGCGUGAAUACUGAACAUUGCAAGAUUUCUAAUCAUGGGCUGAGGAUUUACUUAUAUUCUUUAUUAAGCUCACCCAUUAUGUAGUCAUGAAGGAGGGACAAGAAAAAGAAUAUAAAACGCUGAACCCAAUGGAAAAAUAUCAUCUCACAUCCAAAUAGCACUGAUUCUAAAGAGCAUGAGGAAAAAAAUGAAUUAUGACUGGAGAAAAGGAUUACAGGCAAACAAGGAGAACAGCUUUAAUGGGAAUGAUUCCCUAAAUCACCUAACGGGAGUGAAGCAAAAGAGGAUGAUCAAGAUUAUGACUCUGUGAACAGUCUCCCAUCCAUCAGAAGCCCUACUGUGAAUUGCCUGACUACCAUGAAGACACACUGAAAAUUCUAACACCCUGGAGGAGUAUAAAAUCCCACUCAGUUGCUAUCUUCCUGUCAUGGAAAUUGCU